GCGAACAGUCUAACAGAUUGUGUUCGUUGUCGACGAAACCUGCCUUAAGCCGCUGAGAUACCUGCUGUGAUAGAACGAGGAGAUUAGGCAGAAAUGAUCACGGAUUAUCACCAGAUUAAAUGCAAAUAGAGUAUUUGUAACAUAUGGGACCAUGUUUAGCAGUAUGUAUUCUUGCACCAGUAUGGUCGGUUUAUUCUGGGGUUUAAUUCUAUGACGUGUGUUGUAUAGACAAAGCUUAAAGCGACUUAUAUUUAUAGGGAAGCUGAUAUUGACAACAUACGUGGCAACAUAGACGGGAAAAGUAUUUAGCAGUUGGUGGAAGCAUGAACAUAGACGAUCGUUUCUGUAAAGCUUUUAUUAUGUGAAGUUGCUACUUGCCCUUCAGCAAGUAAUAUAUUAUGCAAACCUCCUCCGCCAGAAGAGUCAUUUUACUUAAGUUCAGAAAGGGCUCCGUCAACAAUUAUUCGCCUGUUUAGGGCUUAUAUUCGUUAAGUAUAAGUUUUGAAUAAAAUUUGCCGACCUUAUUCUAUUCUGGGGGAAAAUAGAAGUAAUGGGAAUACCAGGAGUGGUCAUAAAACAGAGCUGAAGUGGUGGAAUAAAGCUGGGAAUUAUUGGAUCCAUACCUGGCCUACUAUUCCCUGUUAUUUAUCAUAAUAGGUAUAUAAUCGAUUUUAUGAUAUCGAUUAAUUGAAUUAUUCUUGUAAUUGAAUACAGCCACUUUCUAUAUACAUCGUGAAUCAGGAGUAGAAUCUAGACAAGAAUAGGUUCAGCUAAUGCAAUAAUCAACCGUAUUGACGAUAUUCGAUCGCUUUCAGUGAUAUGACAACACGGACUACGCU